rnacentral:rRNA from 1 species
UAGUCCACGCCGUAAACGAUGAGCACUAGAUGUCGGAGGUCUUACCCCUUCGGUGUCGUAGCUAACGCGUUAAGUGCUCCGCCUGGGGAGUACGGCCGCAAGGCUAAAACUCAAAGAAAUUGACGGGGCCCGCACAAGCGGUGGAGGAUGUUGUUUAAUUCGAUGCUACGCGAAGAACCUUACCUGGGUUUGACAUCCCGUGCUAUCCUGUGAAAGCAGGAGUUCCCUUCGGGGACACGGUGACAGGUGCUGCAUGGCUGUCGUCAGCUCGUGUCGUGAGAUGUUGGGUUAAGUCCCGGCAACGAGCGCAACCCCUGUCCUUAGUUGCUACCAUUUAGUUGGGCACUCUAAGGAGACCGCUAGCCGAUAAGGCAGAGGAAGUGGGGAUGAGGUCAAGUCCGCAUGGGCCCUUACACCCAGGGGCUACAGACGUCCUACAAUGGCCGGUACAAAGCGCUGCAAACUCGUGAGAGUUGGCUAAUCGCAAAAAGCCGGUCUCAGUUCGGAUUGGAGUCUGCAAC